AGAUAUCAAGGUCAAAAGGUCAAAAAGCUGUUCGUACUUGCACGAUAAAGCUUUUGAACUUAGGGCCUGCAGGACAUGAGGAAGUAGCGAUUUACGUAGUAAAUCUCCGGAUUCCGAAUGUCCUGGAAUUGCGGGAGCUGCAAAGCAGCGGAGCAAUUCGUAGAUAUCA
rfam:Ruminococcus sp. CAG:60 genomic scaffold, scf459